AUGGUCAGCUUUGCCCCAAACUGCUGCUCCUUUUCCUCGAACCUAUGUCUCUUAAGUUCGGGGGAUCAUCAUGUUCGGAUUCCAGAAGGUCACCCCAUCAUUGUGCAACCAAAACGAUGGGCGCUGUUGGAGAUCAUAUUGCCAAUUGCCGCGGCAGCUAGUGGAGUGAUCAAUGAUAAGGAAGGUGAUUUUGAUGGCCAAUUCACAGUAGAGAUUCAUCACAAAGGAUUCUUCUCUGGAACUGACAACAAUAGGAGCUACAUUGACUAUGAAGUUGAUUGGUUCGAUCAUUGUGAUUGUGACACUUGGUCUAUACUGUGGAUUGAAGACUUUGUGAAGCAGCUGGGCUAUGAUCGAGAGACAUGGCAGCAUGAUGUAUACUGGUGUCUACCUGGAAAGACAAUUAAUGAAGGAAUGAGAGAGAUGAAGUGUGAUGCUGAUAGCCUUGCAAUGAUAGCAGCUAGCACAGUACACAAGAAUUUGUUGCUGCUCGUAGACCAUGGAGAGACAGUGAACAACCUUCUUACAGAUGAUGUUACAGUUGAUGCACUGCCUGAGUUGCCAAAGGUCAUAACCCCAAAAAAAGAUGGCAAGGGCAAAGAACAAGCUAGCUCAACUGAAGUGAGAAGUAGAGCAAGGAGAUUGUUUACUGAAGCAACAUCUUCAGGAUAUGCUGAUGAAGAAAUGGAGGAAGAAGGUGAAAAGGGUGCGGCGGAUUCAGAAACAGAUGAGGAAUUCUAUGACAGUGACUAUGAUAUUAUGGAUGGGGAUGAUGAUUUGUAUGAGGAACAUGUUGACAAAGAGGUGGACGAUCAUAGAGAAAAAGUUUAUACAUGUGACUAUGAAACAGAGCUAGCAGAAGAUGCUCUAGAUGAUCCUACCAUAAUGUUAUCCAAAGAAGAGAGGGACAAGCUCAAGUACAACUUCAAGGGUUUCAACCCAGAAACUGAUUUGAAUGCCCCUGUAUUCAGAUUAGGUAUGGUGUUUGGUACUGUUGAGGAGCUGAGGCGUGCUAUUACCUCUUAUAGCAUCAGAAACAGAGUUGCAAUUAAAAAGACCAGAAACACAUCAACUACAGUAGAAGCAGAAUGCAUUGAUGAUUGCCCAUGGUACUUGAAAGCAGGGAUGGACAACAGGAAAAAUAGCUUUGUGAUCAAGAAAUACUGUGAUCAGCACACGUGUCCUAAGACAUGGAAGCUGAAGGGUCUAACUGCUCCAUUUUUAACCAAAAAAUUCAGAGAUGAGUUCAGGGGCAAUGAAAAGAUGCCAUUGCAGAAAUUCGAGGAGAAGGUUCAGCAGGAGUACAAUCUAAUUCCAAGUAGGAGCAAAUUGGGAAGGGCUAGAAGAGCAUCAGUAAAGCAGAUCAGAGGUGAGGAUGAUGACCAGUAUAAGAUGUUAUGGGAUUAUGGAGAGGAAUUGAGGCAAACAAACCCUGGCAGCAAGUUCUACCUUUGCACAAAGGAGAUUUUUGAUGAAAAGACCAAGGAGACAAAGGAACAUUUUUCAACUUUGUACUGGUCAUUGGAUGCAUGCAAGAGAGGCUGGUUGAUGGGGUGUAGGCCAAUAAUAUUUGUAGAUGGAUGUCACAUUAAGACCAGGUACAAAGGGAAUUUACUGACAGCUGUGGGUAUUGACCCCAAUGAUUGUAUUUUCCCCAUAGCAUUUGGGAUUGUGGAAGUGGAGUCCACUAGCAGCUGGGAGUGGUUUUUGGCUAGCCUAAAGGAUGAUCUCAAUAUAUGCAACACCUCUCCAUACACAAUCAUGAGUGAUAAGCAGAAGGGUCUUAUAGCUGCAGUUGCAAAGGUGUGGCCAGACGCUGAACACAGGUUUUGUGUCAGGCAUAUGUAUCAAAAUUUCCACAAGCUUCACAAGGGGGAACAACUAAAGAACAAUAUGUGGGCCAUUGCAAGGGCUACAGACACUCCAACAUACAACAAAGCAAUGGAGAAGAUGAAGGCAGACAGUGUGCCUGCAUACGAAUGGGUUGAGAAAUGGCCACCAAGAACAUGGAUUAAAGCUUUUUUUAAUCCUUUUCCAAAGUGUGACAUCCUGCUAAAUAACAUGUCUGAAGUAUUUAACAGUUGGAUUUUGCCAGCCAGAGAACUUCCUAUUUACUCGAUGGUUGAAAACAUAAACAGCAAGAUCACAGCAAGGAUAUACAGCAAGCAGAUGGAAGUUGCAGAAGAUAGGAAAUGGAGUAUGAGAUUGUGCCCAAAAAUUCAGAAAAAAUUGGACAAGUACACUGAUUGGGCUGCAAACUGCAUGGUCUUUGGAGCUGGUCAGAAGGUUUUCAAGGUUGUGUCAAUGAACCACUCCUACAUAGUGGACUUGGAAAUGGAAACCUGUAACUGCAAGAGAUGGGACUUGUCUGGCAUUCCAUGUCACCAUGCUAUUGCUUGUGCUAGAAAUGAGAGAAUUGACCCUGCAAGCCUAGUGCAUGAUUGUUAUUCAGUAGGGACAUACAAAAGGGCUUAUGCUUUUAAUGUAAAACCAGUGAGGGACCAGGAACAUUGGACUAAGAUGCAUGGCAUUGCUGUAUAUCCACCAGUGUACACUAAGGUAAUGGGGAGACCAAGGAGGAAUAGAAAGAAAGAUCCAGAGGAGAAGUUGAUGAAAGAAGGAGGGAAAAAGUUGACAAAGCAUGGUGUAACCAUGCACUGCUCCCUUUGUGGAAGUGCAGACCACAACAAGAAAGGACACAAGAAGUGGGAGGAGACCACAAGAGAUGCUCCUCAACCUGCAAAUGUUGCAGAUGAUGAAGAAGAAGAGUAUGAUGAUCCUACAAUCAUUUCUAACAUACUGCCACACACAGUCCAUCCACACAUGGAUCCAAGUCAAACCCCAGGGUCCAUGGUUUUCCUCAUGCAGCAAAUGGAGAGGAGAGCGUACCAACCAAGUAUGGAUCAUGGACCUCUUCCAGAAUCAACAUUUGUUGCACAAGCAAGAAAUGACAUACCCCCUCCUAGGGUUACGACUGCUAUGUCAAGAGGUAGGGUUAGAAGAAGAGGAGUCACUGAAGACAUUCCAGAAGAUGUACCACAGUCAAGCAACCAAGCUGGAAUUUCAAGAGGAAGAAAGAGAAGAUCCACUGGAGCUGGUGGAGCAGCAGCUGGCAGGGGAGGCAGAGGAUCUAGAGAAGCAACUGGUAGGGGAGGAAGAGGUUUUGGAGCUAGUGGAGCAUCUAGCAGGGGAGGCAGGGGAGCUAGGGGAGCGGCUGGCAGGAGAGGUAGAGGAUCUGUACAGCAGACAAGCAACCAAGCAGCUGGAAGAGGAGCAGGGGAAGCAUAUACUGGACCAGGUGCUGAGGAAGCAUAUACUGGACCAGGUGCUGGGUUCUGGAACCUUAUGUUUGGACCAAAUUCAGAGAGUUCCUAUGUGCAAGCAGAAGAGGAGCCAGUGACCCAAAAUGCACCAAAUGAAGAGUGGAUUGAUGAUUUCCAAACCUUGUAG
rnacentral:rRNA from 1 species